rnacentral:rRNA from 1 species
GAUGAACGCUGGCGGCGUGCCUAAUACAUGCAAGUCGAGCGAACAGACGAGGAGCUUGCUCCUCUGACGUUAGCGGCGGACGGGUGAGUAACACGUGGAUAACCUACCUAUAAGACUGGGAUAACUUCGGGAAACCGGAGCUAAUACCGGAUAAUAUAUUUAACCGCAUGGUUCAAUAGUGAAAGACGGUAUUGCUGUCCCUUAUAGAUGGAUCCGCGCCGCAUUAGCUAGUUGGUAAGGUAACGGCUUACCAAGGCAACGAUGCGUAGCCGACCUGAGAGGGUGAUCGGCCACACUGGAACUGAGACACGGCCCAGACUCCUACGGGAGGCAGCAGUAGGGAAUCUUCCGCAAUGGACGAAAGCUUGACGGAGCAACGCCGCGUGAGUGAAGAAGGUCUUCGGAUCGUAAAACUCUGUUAUUAGGGAAGAACAAAUGUGUAAGUAACUAUGCACGUAUUGACGGUACCUAAUCAAAAAGCCACGGCUAACUACCUG